CUCACCACACCUCACCCUGCUCACCUCACCUCACCCUGUUAAAUGACUCGGGAACAUAGUGUACAACUUCCAUGCAUUCUUCUUUUUUCUCAUCUCUCACGCCCAAAUCACCACCAUCCUACAACCUCCAUUCCACCAUCUUCGACCAACAAAACUCGGACUCUCAACACAACAUCACGAUCCCUUAUCUCCGUCGCUGAAACCUACAUUGCAGAUCUUCAUUUGGGCUUUUUGAGUUUGAUUUUAAGUUCUUGAUCUUGCCCUAAAGAAACUCUAAUCAAGGAGACACAAAUUAUGUUGAAUAGAGUUUGAAGAUGAAGUUAGUUCAUUCAGUUCGAGUAAGGAGCAUUCAAUAGUUUGGAAUUAUUUUAAGAAAAUACCACCCGGACCGGACAAGAUGGGGUUAAGAAAGCGAGUUGUAAUGGCAGUGGAAAGGUGUUUAAGGCUAACAAGUUUUUGUUUAGAAAUUUGAAAUUGAACGAACUAGGAUUGUAGCUUUAUGUUAGAUGUUUUCAAAGCUUUUGUCACAAACGCUUUGUAAUCUUUUGAGCUUGGCUCGGCUAGAUUCAAGCUUUUAACGCGGGUAUCUCAAGUCUGCUAGUUUAAGAUUCUUA